UAAACCGUCCUUUUUAGGACGACAAAUAAUAUUAAUAAAAAGACAU
rfam:Clunio marinus genome assembly, contig: CLTMA_superscaffold_60B